rnacentral:rRNA from 1 species
UGCCAGACUCCUACGGGAGGCAGCAGUGAGGAAUAUUGGUCAAUGGGCGGGAGCCUGAACCAGCCAAGUCGCGUGAAGGAUGACGGCCCUACGGGUUGUAAACUUCUUUUGUCAGGGAGCAAUUGAGUCCACGUGUGGGCUUAGCGAGAGUACCUGAAGAAAAAGCAUCGGCUAACUCCGUGCCAGCAGCCGCGGUAAUACGGAGGAUGCGAGCGUUAUCCGGAUUUAUUGGGUUUAAAGGGUGCGUAGGCGGAAUAUCAAGUCAGCGGUAAAAAGUCGGGGCUCAACCCCGUCGUGCCGUUGAAACUGGCGGGCUGGAGUUGGAGAGAAGUACGCGGAAUGCGCGGUGUAGCGGUGAAAUGCUUAGAUAUCGCGCAGAACCCCGAUUGCGAAGGCAGCGUACCGGCUCCACACUGACGCUGAGGCACGAAAGCGUGGGUAUCGAACAGGAUUAGAUACCCCCGUA